rnacentral:rRNA from 1 species
UGGGUAACCUGCCUCAAGGAGGGGAAUAGCCUCCCGAAAGGGAGAUUAAUACCGCAUAAUACGUUUAAGUCGCAUGACUUUAACAUCAAAGGUAUUUUCUUUUAAGAAAUUCCACUUUGAGAUGGACCCGCGGCGCAUUAGCUAGUUGGUGAGGUAACGGCUCACCAAGGCAACGAUGCAUAGCCGACCUGAGAGGGUNAUCGGCCACAUUGGAACUGAGACACGGUCCAGACCUCCCGUAAGGGACGG